rnacentral:rRNA from 1 species
AGAGUUUGAUCCUGGCUCAGGAUGAACGCUGGCGGCGUGCUUAACACAUGCAAGUCGAACGAUGACCUCCAGCUUGCUGGGGUGAUUAGUGGCGAACGGGUGAGUAACACGUGAGUAACCUGCCCUUGACUCUGGGAUAAGCCUGGGAAACUGGGUCUAAUACCGGAUAUGACUCCUCAUCGCAUGGUGGGGGGUGGAAAGCUUUUUGUGGUUUUGGAUGGACUCGCGGCCUAUCAGCUUGUUGGUGAGGUAAUGGCUUACCAAGGCGACGACGGGUAGCCGGCCUGAGAGGGUGACCGGCCACACUGGGACUGAGACACGGCCCAGACUCCUACGGGAGGCAGCAGUGGGGAAUAUUGCACAAUGGGCGCAAGCCUGAUGCAGCGACGCCGCGUGAGGGAUGACGGCCUUCGGGUUGUAAACCUCUUUCAGUAGGGAAGAAGCGAAAGUGACGGUACCUGCAGAAGAAGCGCCGGCUAACUACGUGCCAGCAGCCGCGGUAAUACGUAGGGCGCAAGCGUUAUCCGGAAUUAUUGGGCGUAAAGAGCUCGUAGGCGGUUUGUCGCGUCUGCCGUGAAAGUCCGGGGCUCAACUCCGGAUCUGCGGUGGGUACGGGCAGACUAGAGUGAUGUAGGGGAGACUGGAAUUCCUGGUGUAGCCGGUGAAAUGCGCAGAUAUCAGGGAGGA